rnacentral:rRNA from 1 species
GCUCAGGAUGAACGCUGGCGGCGUGCCUAACACAUGCAAGUCGAACGGAGUCGUUUUGGAAAUCUCUUCGGAGAUGGGAUUCUCGACUUAGUGGCGGACGGGUGAGUAACGCGUGAGCAAUCUGCCUUUAAGAGGGGGAUAACAGUCGGAAACGGCUGCUAAUACCGCAUAAAGCAUCGAAACCGCAUGAUUUUGAUGCCAAAGGAGCAAUCCGCUUUUAGAUGAGCUCGCGUCUGAUUAGCUGGUUGGCGGGGUAACGGCCCACCAAGGCGACGAUCAGUAGCCGGACUGAGAGGUUGAACGGCCACAUUGGGACUGAGACACGGCCCAGACUCCUACGGGAGGCAGCAGUA